GAUUAACGCUAGCGGCAGGCCUAAUACAUGCAAGUCGAACGGGAUUCAAAGUAGCAAUAUUUUGAUGAGAGUGGCGCACGGGUGAGUAACACGUAUGCAAUUUACCUUUAACUGGGGGAUAGCCCUCCGAAAGGAGGAUUAAUACCGCAUAAUAUAUUGAAAUGGCAUCAUUUUAAUAUUAAACCUACGGGGGUUAAAGAUGAGCAUGCAUCCGAUUAGCUAGUUGGUGUGGUAACGGCUCACCAAGGCAACGAUCGGUAGGGGGUCUGAGAGGAUGAUCCCCCACACUGGUACUGAGACACGGACCAGACUCCUACGGGAGGCAGCAGUAAGGAAUAUUGGACAAUGGAGGCAACUCUGAUCCAGCCAUGCCGCGUGAAGGAUUAAGGCCCUAUGGGUUGUAAACUUCUUUUAGACGGGACAAAACCCCUUUACGUGUAAAGGGUUGAUGGUACUGUCAGAAUAAGCAUCGGCUAACUUCGUG
rnacentral:rRNA from 2 species